GACGAACGCUGGCGGCGUGCUUAACACAUGCAAGUCGAGCGGUAAGGCCCGUUUCGGGGGUACACGAGCGGCGAACGGGUGAGUAACACGUGGGUGACCUGCCCUCAGCUCUGGGAUAAGCCUGGGAAACCGGGUCUAAUACUGGAUAUGACUCCAUGACGCAUGUUGUGGGGUGGAAAGCCUUGUGCGGCUGAGGAUGGGCCCGCGGCCUAUCAGCUUGUUGGUGGGGUGAGGCCUACCAAGGCGACGACGGGUAGCCGGCCUGAGAGGGCGACCGGCCACACUGGGACUGAGACACGGCCCAGACUCCUACGGGAGGCAGCAGGUGGGGGAAUCUUGCGCAAGUGGGCGAAAGCCUGACGCAGCGACGCCGCGUGUGUGAAGAAGGCCU
rnacentral:rRNA from 1 species